ACAAGAAGAAGGGGAAAAAGAAGAAGAAAUGAUGGCAACAUUCAACAUACAAAAAAGGAUUAUUCGGUCAAAUCCUAUAGAUGAUGUUUGACGACUAUGUUUCGUCCAUCUUUCUUUCUUCUUUGUUGGCUCCUGUGGCGUCCUCUUUGAUUUUGUGCUUU
rnacentral:ribozyme from 14 species